rnacentral:rRNA from 1 species
AGUGAACGCUGGCGGUAGGCCUAACACAUGCAAGUCGAACGGCAGCACAGUAAGAGCUUGCUCUUACGGGUGGCGAGUGGCGGACGGGUGAGGAAUACAUCGGAAUCUACUUUCUCGUGGGGGAUAACGUAGGGAAACUUACGCUAAUACCGCAUACGACCUACGGGUGAAAGCAGGUGAUCUUCGGACCUUGCGCGAUUGAAUGAGCCGAUGUCGGAUUAGCUAGUUGGCGGGGUAAAGGCCCACCAAGGCGACGAUCCGUAGCUGGUCUGAGAGGAUGAUCAGCCACACUGGAACUGAGACACGGUCCAGACUCCUACGGGAGGCAGCAGUGGGGAAUAUUGGACAAUGGGCGCAAGCCUGAUCCAGCCAUACCGCGUGGGUGAAGAAGGCCUUCGGGUUGUAAAGCCCUUUUGUUGGGAAAGAAAAGCAGCAGGUUAAUACCCCGCUGUUCUGACGGUACCCAAAGAAUAAGCACCGGCUAACUUCGUG